UUUCGUUUAUUCAGUUUUUUAAUUCUCGAUUAAUGACUUAUUUUUUCUUUAAUUUGAUUUUAAUAUUUUUGAUUUUUUUUAUUCAGAUCCAUUACAUUACACCAGGAAAUUCAGUCCGGCCACCGUGGCUUGAUCCGAGAAUUCCCAGUUGGUAUUUCGACUUCUGAGGAGUUUAUUCUGGAAUUCCUGGUUGGCAUUCCAAAAACUUUUUCCUGAUUCCUUCGCCGCUGAUCUGUUCAAAACGGUGGUUGAAUUUGCUGGACGCCCGCCAGUGACGAAGUUCAACCCCGUUGCCUGCAAGAUCGGCAUGCGUUUAUUAUCCAACGCUGUGCAUAUGCUCCUGGAUUGUCUGUGUGCUAUGCCAGUACAUGGCCACCGUGGAGCAGAAACAGUUGCCAGCGGACCAUGAUAUUCUCCUGGAAGUGAAGCGCAUUGUAGAGAUGCUACAGAGCCUUGAUUCAGAACAGCAGCAGGAAAAGGACAAUGUGGUGUCUCCGGAGCGCUUCGAUUGUGGAAGUUUGCUUAGAACGCCGGAUUCGUGGCAGAUUCUCAGCUCGUUGUACGGAUUGCAUUAUGCUGAAUUGUUUCUACAGCUGGUACAGCAAACGUUCGGCGGAAAUUGAAGAUAGACCGGUAGUGGGCUGAUCAUUACCGCCACUACACACUGGAAAUGCGUAUCCUCGCCUACAAUCCGCUGUUUGAGUCCUAUCAAUCCUGGACGCUCGAUUACAUCAUCCAGGCUUUCGGCGUUACGUCUGGUUUUGUUGACAAGGAACUAUCGCACUUUACUGCCGCUGGUCACCUGCACUCCAAAACUGAUAAGGUAAACGGUAUGGUGGAAACAUCCCGGCCAGAUAACAAGAACAGACCAUAUCAGUUGUUCAUUAAGCAAGGUGAUCAUUUACUGAACAACAUCCAGCGCCUCUCAAGAGUUUUUAACGUUUGAUUUUUUUCCUGUUUUCCGAUGUGUUAUGUACUUUUUAUAACAAUUUUGGUCACUUUUGCUUCGCUGCUGAAUACUGUUUGAUUUUUGCCAUUUCUGUCAUUAUGAAGUUCCAAAACGUUCCUAAAUCCUCAAUGUACCGUCCUAAAACUAAUGAUGGAAAAUCUAGUCUUGCUGGAAGCAUGAAUUGGCAAUCUUGAGGCA